UACGGGGGGGGCAAGCGUUGUUCGGAAUUACUGGGCGUAAAGGGCUCGUAGGUGGCCAACUAAGUCAGACGUGAAAUCCCUCGGCUUAACCGGGGAACUGCGUCUGAUACUGGAUGGCUUGAGUUUGGGAGAGGGAUGCGGAAUUCCAGGUGUAGCGGUGAAAUGCGUAGAUAUCUGGAGGAACACCGGUGGCGAAGGCGGCAUCCUGGACCAACACUGACGCUGAUGAGCGAAAGCGUGGGGAGCAAACAGG
rnacentral:rRNA from 1 species